CUCAACAAACCCCUGCUGUGCUGCUGUUUGCCACACCCUGUCGGGAACACAGAGCCCCCGCCCGCCCAAGCGGCUAAUUUAACUGCACUGGGAGCUACUCCCGGGUCGCCCUGGCUUCUCUAGCUGCCAACCGGGCGAAGUCCCGGCGCCGGGUCCCGGUGCCCGCCCGCCAUGCGUCCUGCGGGCCCGAGCGCCUCGGUAUUGCUCCGUGUCCUUGGCGGUCUGCACCUGCUGCUGCUGCUGUGGCCACCAGCCACCAGGGGGCAGAUAAUAGACGGCAUGUCCUUCGCUAUGUGUAGUAGUCCACCAGAUCGAGAUUUUGCAGUGCUCUCAGAGCCUUAUAGGAACGAGACUGUGUUUGCAGUAGGCGCCACUGUGGAAUAUGAGUGCCGUCCAGGCUACAGAAAAGUCUCUGAUGAACGACAAAUAGCUUGCCGUCCAAUGAUAGGAUGGACCAGACUAUCUGAGUUUUGUACAAAAAUGUCAUGUCCUAAUCCUGCACCAUUAGUAAAUGGUGAUAUCCAGAUACCAGCUAACAGAUUAUUUGGUGAAGUCAUGGUCUUCUCGUGUCAUGCUGGGCACGCACUAUUUGGUGAAGAAACUGCUAGGUGUAUCGUUGUGGGUGAUAAUGUUGAGUGGAGUAACGAAAAUCCAACUUGCACAGAGAUUUUUUGUCCAGAACCACCACGAAUCAAGCAUGGAAGAGUAAGUACAGGAAGAGAGGAACGUUAUGUAUAUAAUCACAUUGUAAGGUACUCGUGUGACGAAGGCUAUUCCUUGGUUGGAGAAGACUAUAUUCAGUGCUCUUUAAUAAAGAAUGAGGGAGUUUGGAGUUUCCCAGGACCUACAUGCGAAGACUUUUUUCCUCAACAUCUCUUGAUACCCAGUCUGUACUGUCAGAAUCCUUAGAACUGCUUUUUAGAUAUAUUUCACAAUUGCAAAGAUGUGAAAACAACCCAAGUGUCCAUCAUUACAUGAGUGGAUUAAUAAAAUGUGGUAUAUAGAUACUAUCGAAUACUAAUCAGCUACAAAAAACAAUUGUGAAUUAGCAACUCUUAUAUGAUCCUGGAUAGAGAUUGAGCCCAUUCUUCAAAAUGAGGUAUCACAGGAAUUGAAAAACAUGCACCACAUGUACUCGCCAUCAAAUUGGUACUAACUGAUCAACACUAAGGUGUUCACAUGGUAGUAAUACUUAUUGAUUGCCAGGCAGGUGGGGUGGUUAGGGGUGGUAAACCUACAACUAAUGGAAGCAGAGAGCACUGUAUGGGGGAAAGACAUGCUUGUAGCCCUGGCUGGGUGA